UGGGGAAUAUUGCACAAUGGAGGGAACUCUGAUGCAGCGAUGCCGCGUGAGGGAAGAAGGUUUUCGGAUUGUAAACCUCUGUCAACGGGGACGAAAAUGACGGUACCCGAGAAGGAAGCUCCGGCUAACUACGUGCCAGCAGCCGCGGUAAUACGUAGGGAGCGAGCGUUGUCCGGAAUUACUGGGUGUAAAGGGAGCGUAGGCGGGGCUUUAAGUCAGGUGUGAAAACUACGGGCUCAACUCGUAGACUGCACUUGAAACUGAGGCUCUUGAGUGGAGCAGAGGCAGGCGGAAUUCCCGGUGUAGCGGUGAAAUGCGUAGAUAUCGGGAGGAACAUCAGUGGCGAAGGCGGCCUGCUGGGCUUUUACUGACGCUGAGGCUCGAAAGCGUGGGGAGCAAACAGG
rnacentral:rRNA from 1 species